rnacentral:rRNA from 1 species
UACGAAGGGGGCUAGCGUUGCUCGGAAUCACUGGGCGUAAAGCGCACGUAGGCGGCUUCUUAAGUCAGGGGUGAAAUCCUGGAGCUCAACUCCAGAACUGCCUUUGAUACUGGGGAUCUCGAGUCCGGGAGAGGUGAGUGGAACUCCGAGUGUAGAGGUGAAAUUCGUAGAUAUUCGGAAGAACACCAGUGGCGAAGGCGGCUCACUGGCCCGGUACUGACGCUGAGGUGCGAAAGCGUGGGGAGCAAACAGG